rnacentral:rRNA from 1 species
UACAGAGGUCCCAAGCGUUGUUCGGAUUCACUGGGCGUAAAGGGUGCGUAGGCGGUCGGGUAAGUCUGACGUGAAAUCCCGCAGCUCAACUGCGGAACUGCAUCGGAUACUAUUCGGCUUGAGGAAUGGAGGGGAGACUGGAAUUCUCGGUGUAGCAGUGAAAUGCGUAGAUAUCGAGAGGAACACCAGUGGCGAAGGCGAGUCUCUGGACAUUUCCUGACGCUGAGGCACGAAAGCCAGGGGAGCAAACGGG